GACGAGGGGUCCUAGCGUUGCUCGGAAUCAUUGGGCGUAAAGCGGGUGUAGGCGGCUUCGUAAGUCAGUUGUGAAAGCCCCAAGUUCAACUUGGGAAGUGCUUCUGAUACUGUGAGGCUGGAGUAUUGGAGAGGGUAGUAGAAUUCCUGGUGUAGUGGUGAAAUACGUAGAUAUCGGGAGGAACACCAGUGGCGAAGGCGACUUCCUGGCCUGUUCUUGACGCUGAGGCGCGAAAGCUAGGGUAGCAAACGGG
rnacentral:rRNA from 1 species